CUAAGGAUAUAAACGAACUACAAAUGUUUUAUUAAGUCACAGGAGGUUUGCAAGGCUGAAUCUCAAAAAGUCUGUUUGUGAUUGGAUUGGUUCCCUGACCAGGAACCGAGAGCAAGAUAAUGUUCCGUAACCCUUCCCUUCCUCCACGGUCAGUUAAACAGCUGAUGAGGCCAGGAAAGUGACUGUCCAGCACCCCCAAGGUCCUCUGAAACUCCUGCAUGCUACCACUCAAUCUCUAAACUCACUGCUUUCCCAACCCGUACCCUUUGCUCUCCACUUUAUAAGGAAGAAAUUUGGUGUGGGAGAGAGGCAGACACCCAGGAUAAUUGAAUCUGGCCAGCCAGGGUCACUCUCUGGUGCUGUGUGAGGUCUUGGGACUAAAGCCUAACUCCAACAGCCCUCAGGGGUACCGAGUAUCAACUGCUGUUUGGGAGAAUUUUGGUGCGUGGCACGAGGAAGGCUCAAGGUGACAGAGGGCAUCUGGCUGGGGCAACUCUCUAGGGUUGCCAGCAGACUUUGGCCUGAAACCUGACUCCGACAGCCCCCGGGGCACAGAUAUCAAGGACAUGCUAAACUUCCACUAUGCUUGGACAGCAAAGGGCUUUACAGCAAGCCCUCUGAGGGCAUGAAAAGAGACCUACUUCUUCCCUUACCAACCUUCCCUCCCACACUCAGCCGACUUCACACAUCCAGGAAGAGACCUGGGCUGGGCCAUAGAAGGGUCACACUGUUAUUUAAAGAUCUGUCUUAUGUCUGUUUACUGUUGGUGGUGGUGACUUGGUGGUGACUUACUGGCAACUUAGAACAAAGCAGCCCGCGCCGGAAAAGAACAUCAAUCAGAUGCCGGCGGAAAUACUUGUCAAUCAGCCAGAUCUCCUGACUAACGUCUGUCAAUCAGCAGGACCCCCCUGGCCAAUCCUGGAGUUCAGCCAACUCCCCUGACCAACUCCAAGGGGGCAAGGGACCCUAAGAACACCUUUUCCUGUCCCGAGCCCUUCCCUUCCAGCUGUAAGCCCCAUAAAAGUCCAGUCCGGUCGAGCUUCCACGCGGUUUCUCCUCAGACCCUUCCCCUGUCCCCUCUGUGGGUCUGAUUGAGUUCCGCCCGGGAGUGAGAUCUCAAUAAAGCCUGUUCAGAGGCCCUUUUAAA